rnacentral:tRNA from 1 species
GCAGGCGUAGCUCAGUUGGUUAGAGCACCAGGUUGUGGCUCUGGGGGUCGCGGGUUCGAACCCCGUCGCUUGCCCCA